GACAACCGCUCCGGUGGCCUAGUGGUUAGAGCGUCCGCCUCGGUUGCGGUAUUUCGUGGGUUCGAUCCCUGAUCGUGUCA